GAAAAGUGGCUUGAAGUUAGUGUUCUGCUUCCAAAGCUGAAAGCCAAACCUACUCCUGUCAUGUCUUAGAACAGCCUGGGGGAUGCACUAAACAAUUCUGGCUUUGUGCCUGCUAAUGAUUCAUGUAAGCAUUCUUAUCACAAAGGGACUUCAGCAGAAGCCAAAGAUCAGACCUUAUUUGUGUAUCUGUGUGAGUGAUAGCAGAAGGGAACGAAGCAAUUCUUCAUCUUCUUUUUCUAUAGAUUAUGUGUUUUGCUAUGCAUAUCACAAGCAUGCCAUUAAUUUGAAGACAUAUCUUCAAAACUUCUGCCAGUACUUGGGGAACUCUAUUUUAUCUUUCUGUCAAGAGAGAUAGAGAGAUGAGAACAGACAUCAUAGUAAAGAAAAGGAACAGAAGAACAUGGGUAGAUUACAUGACCAUAGCCUCACAUGAUGAUCAAAUGGGAAAAGUUACCUUAAUCUCUGCAAAACCAUUCAAACAAAGGAGCCGUCAUAAUAUGAGUGAGAACCUGCCUACCUAAUAUCCUGUUUCUGAUGAUCAGUCAUAUCAGUUGCUUAAAAGAAAAUAUGGAAAUCUGAUUUAUAACUGUGGAAGAUUGACCCAGAGAAGUUUCGCCCUAAUCCAUAGCAGUUACAUUUUUGCUUAGCCUUCUAAAAUUUUUUUGGGACAUUGAUAGCUACAGUAACUCAAUCUAUAUAAAUAUCUGCUCACUGUUUCCUGUUAGAGAAUAAGAACGUGAAAUACUUAUGAGAAAAUCCUGAAGUGAAACAGAAGACCUUGACUCCCCCAAGUCUCAUGGAAAAUGACAGUGGUGUUCCUUAUAAUAUAUGGGAGAUUGUGACAUCUCUAGCUCUGGGCAACAGAUUCUGAGAAAGAGUGAAUAUAUCCUGCACCUGGAGAAGAAAUAGAUAAGAAACUGGGAAAGAACUAAGGAAGAAGAGACAGAACUACAAACCCAGAGAGUUCAAGGCAUGUAUCUGUAUCUCAUACUGCUUCAAUUGAUUCAGUACAAGCUGAAAACUCGAAGAGUUGGGUAAAACUCCUCUUCCUCUACAGCUAGUACUUGUCUACCAGAGAUGAGUAUGAUUGAGAGAGCAGCUGUUUGUAUCAUUCUGAACAAAUACUGAAGUGCAAGACCCAGCAAAGGACAUCAUCUGCAAUUCUGCAAAACUGACUGCGGUUGCUCUAAAACACCAGAAACCACCAGAUGGACAACACAAUCUGCUAAGCCACUAAGGGAUUUCAAAUAGAACUAUCCCUCUGUCAAACUGUCCAGACACUUUGGUGUACCUGCCCAGGACCUGGUGAAGAAUGGGCCCUAUCUACACUAAAGGUAAAGAUCUAAUGCAUCAAAGCAGAGACACCUGAGCUAACUGAAGGAGGAUGUUGAGACACCUGCACUGAUCACGCUGAAUGGGAUGGCUGAAACACAGGAUCUCCCAGCCCAAGAAGGACAUGGAUGUGUUAGAAUGUGGAUGUGGAGCACCUCUCUUAUGAAGACAGUCUGAGAGAGCUGGGUUUGUUCAGCAUGGAGAAGAGGACUCUGGGGAGAUCGUAAGGCCUUCCAGUACUUAAAGAGGGCCUACAGAAAGGCUGGAAAGUGACUCUUUGUCAAGGAAUACAGUGAUAGAGCAAGGGGCUUAAGAGAUGCAGCAUCAAGACCACUGGAUUUAGAAAUUGUUGGAAGACACUAAAGAGAACCGAUUGCACUUAUGGAUUGCUUAUGAUUUGGAAGAGAAAGUGAAUGCUUGAGUGCUUUACUCCAGUUCACACCUCACCCAGAUUUCUUUAUGUCCAAAUAAUGUUUGGGUCCUAGGAAGAGCUGCAUAAAACAAAGGUGCCAGUCCAGGCUUUAAGCAGUGAAGUGGCACUUAAAAUUAGAGCUUUUGAGUGCAGUGUGUAAAAGUCCGGCCAAAUGGGGGAAUCUCUGAAAUUGUGACUCUGAUUGAAAGAUCUUUACAUAUACCUAGGUAUUCACCUCCACUUGCUGCCACACAAAAUCUUUCGAUGGAUUAGGCACACAACUAGAAUAUCAUCUAUUAUAAUGUUAUAAUGUCAUCCAUUCUUUUGCAGCACUGCAUCUGCUAAUUUCCCUUUCCCCACCUCGUUUUCACCUUUUAACCUAAAUAUCUGUUCCCACAGUUCCAAUCUUGUUUUCUUGUUUCUGUGAGCCAUGCAAAUAAAUCCAUCUGACCUGCAUAAUGUAUUGUUUGGUUCAUAAAUGUAUUCUUGUAUCUGAACCUUGUGUUUUACAAAUUUGUGUCUGUACUAUCCCAAAACAACAUCAUAUUGCACAUUAUGUAUAACAAUGAGCAUUGAUAUGUGCAUACUUUUUUUCCUUUUCUUUUCUUUUCUUUAUUUUUUUUCCCCCUGUAGCAGAUACACUUGAGGAGAACACUAAAUCUCUGUGGCAGCCCUUAGCCUGUAACACAAACACAUUUAUUUUGCUACAGAAAACAGCAGUAGCAACAGAAAGCCACCAGAUAUUGGAGAUGAAUAAAAAUAUAUUAAAUGGCCAUGACUCUUUCAUAACGUAAUUUAACCUCUCUGAGGAAUUUAAUUAAUUUUUCUUUCUGCAAUUCUGAGAAAAGAUAUAUUGUGCAUAUGAAAGAGUUCAUUUUCAUUUGAGGAUACAGGAUGCACUUUUCUUGCUAAAAGGAACAUAAAAUUUGCCUGUGAGAUUAUAAAAAUAAGAAUGAAAAAAACAGCAACAUUGAAAUGUCUUCUAGAAAAAUUCAGAGAAUUCUGUCUUCAGAUUUUAACUGCAAUCCCUAUAAAAAUAAUUAGUGUUCUACACAAAACUUCUCAUGAGGCUUAAGGGUCCUCACUCUUUCUUUAUUAUUCCUCAGUAAAAGCUGCAAUAUGGAGGUUUUUUUUUUUUAACUUGUUGUGGACCAACCCUUUUAUGGGCAGGGGUCCUCUGCCUUCAAAAUUUGCAGCAUAUACAGGUAUAACAUUGUGUGAAAUGUGCUCAGAAUACAGGUAUAGAUGAGUCAGUGAUCGAUGAAAAUAAAAUCAAAGUUUUCCAUCCCAGUUUCAACUAUUACAUGCACAAUUUGUUCUUCUUCUUUCAGGAAUGAAAUAUUAAAGAAUCAGAACAAGACCAAAAAAAUACAGAAGUGACCCUCUCUCUUGUAUUUAGAAGCUCUGUGCUGCUUUUUGCAGGUAUUUUCCCCUUGUUUGCAGAAGCCAGUAUAAAUGAACCAUUGAAGUUCAAUAUAGUGAAAAACUACAGACUUAAUGGUAGAUUUACAGAGUUUUUCAUAUUUCCAGAGUUAUCCUCAACCAAACACAGAGAAUACACAUAUACAUAACCUUGCCUUCUGCUUAUCUGCUCAAAGUACUUGUUUUGCACCCACCUUCAAAUUCAGGCAAAUUUCUGUUUGUUCUACUCUUCAGCACAUAGUUAAAUGAACUAGUGAUAUAGUUUUAGACAAGGAGUUUUGUCCUGGACUAGGGUCUUUCAAACUAGAGCUGAUAGCUAGCCCCCAAAUCAGAGUUUAGCAUAUCACAGCUGCAACACUGAUGAAGCACCAGCUAAUCAGGAUGAAGUAGAAAAAAAUAUGUUGUCAUGAACUUCCUAAAAAUCAAGCUAAUAAAGGGAAAAACAGAAACAUUCAAACAUUCUUGAAAUUGAAAUUCAAGAACAAUAACAGCAAUAAUCCAGACUGAAACUCUGGCAACUUGAACCUGAUUGUGUCAGUUUACUCUAUUCUAUUUUCCCAGGCUUUCAUUUCCUUUUGUUUGCUUUUGGUUUCCCUCCCACAUCAACUCUUUGCUUUGUUAAUUUCAGAAUAAUCCUAUUUUUGGUAACACAAAUUUCCUUUUAAUAUAAACCAUUUUUAGAUAAGGUUGUUGCCUUGUAAAACCAUAAAUCAAGAUUUUAUGCAUAUAGAUUUGAAAAUCUCCCAUUACAUAAUGUAACAAAAUGUUACAUUACAUUUUGUGUUUCUUUUACCACAUAAGGAACAAAAGAGCAAAUGCAUGCAAAUAUAAGGCAGAAGAAAAAUAGAGGCAGAAGGUAUAGACAUUUUUCCCUUCUGAAUGUUCUGUACAUUUGCAACUUAGAAAUACUAAAAUUUGCCACCAAUUUCAUGGGAAGGGCUGUCUAAAUGGUGAUUUGUUUAAAACCUGUAGCCUCCCAGGUUCUCUAACCAUCUUGACUUAAAGUGAGAGCAGUAUCUGCAUAUUGCCUAUAUCUGCAAUUAAGAAUCAGUUCUGUAGUCAAUACAAUUCACUAUGCAUUGACUGGUAAGUUCUGCUGUAUUGUUUAUAACAGCAUUAGAACUCAAGUCAAGUUUUCUUUUACUCCAGAUCUGGAGCUUAACACAAUGGGUCUUAAUUUUUCAACCUGCAGUUCUAUAUUAGGCUGGCAAUGCAUACCCAACUCAAACUGUCUCUAGAACAGCUUUUGUUUUCUGAAUACACUGGUGAAAAUCUAGACUAGUUGAAUAGUGGAGUAGUGCUUUUCCUCAUAUUAUCAUCAGAGGGCUGGAACACCUCUCCUAUGAAGAAAGGCUGAGAGGGUUGGAAUUGUUCAGCCUGAAGAGAAUUAUCCAGGGAGACAUUACUGGGCCUUUCAAUGUAUAAAAGGGGCCAGGUCUAUAAGAAAGAUGGAGAAGGAUUUUUUUAUCAGGACCUGUAGUGGCAGGACAAGGGGCAAUAGCUGUAAACUGAAAGACAGAAAAUUUAGAUUGGACAUAAGGAAGAAUUUUUUUUUUUCAUUAUAAUUCUACGUAUAAUUCUAUGACAUACAGAGAAUUUGUGUUUUCUGCAGCACAGAAAUUGGCAUAUAUUUUAUAGCUGAUAAUAUUAAAAGAGUUUAGGGUAAACCCCAAACAACAGAAGAAACACUAAAUGUGUAGAAUUUCAAAAUUUUACAGCAUAAAUAUGAUAGUUGUGAAUAACAUGGAAUUCAUGGUAUGUUCACCACGAAGCCCAAGAGCACUCUAUGCUGUACAUAUUAGUGAUCUCUGAAUUUUGUUGUGCUUUGUUCAAGAAAGGCCUGCUUUCAGCUGAGAGGAAAUGGAAAGUCACUUACGCUGAAUUGCUGUGGUCCUGAUGUGAUCUAAAGUUUAAUACCCUCUCAGACCACAUAAAUGUUGCUUGUAGGAAGUGAAACUUGUGGUAAUAAAAAUGACAAGUUAAUGUGUUUUUCUGCUGAAGUCACAAGUAGAAAUUACUUCAAUGAUCUCAUCGUAGUCCCAGAUGGAUGUUUGUCUCCAUCAGAAACAAUUUUGGUUUGGCUUGUUUUGAAAAUUCUGUGAAGACAACAACCAAGGCAGAACAGCCGGCAUUUAAUGAUUGAGAUGUUCUUUUGAUUAAAAUUUGUGACAGCAUAAUAUUGUAUAGAACACAAUUCUUCCAAAGAAAGACAGAAAGAACUUUUAAAAUAACUUAAUCUCAUUGUUUCUCUUUGUCACGCAUACAUUUGUUUAAUUUAAAUCCAUGUGAUACGUACUGUCUGUUGGCUUAAAUUAGUGAAAGUCAGUUAGCGUAGAACAAUUUAGCUUCACUGACAUCUGUAAAGCUGCACAAACAGUAUACCAACUGACAGUGUGGGCAACAAUAUGAAUUAGUCUUAGAAAAAAAUGGCAUCUUUGUAGUAAAGACAGUGAAAUACAUUACCAUUAGUAUAAUUUCUCAUUAAAGAUCCAGUCUUGUGCAACCAGUAUGUGGGACUGUUGACAAUACAUGUAUUUUUAGUGGAUCUGACAUUAAAUCUUGUGUGGUCAGGCAACUCUCCAGCUGAAAUCCCUGUGCAUGGCUGUGCAGCGUGAGGGGUGUCUGGUGGGUGAGACUUGUGCUCCUACUGGUUUUGCUGCAUGGCUUCCCAGUUGAGUUUCUGCAUCUCCUUCCAUUGUUCCCCAUAAUCCUGUCUGCAAUGAAGACAGCAGCCCUGGAAGAUAAUGAUUAGAUUUUUAUUUAUUUAUUUAUUAUCAAAAAGAUUUUGUGUCAGGUUUCUUCUCCAUAUUGUACCAAAGCCAAAUUCAAACCUUGGCAGUAUGCAAUAUUUACAAUGGUGUGAAUUUAGUGGAAGCAUGUAUAAAUACACACACUUACUGAGGGCACAGCUUAAAACCCUGGCACUUUUUUUUUUUGCCAUCCAACAGAGAAAGUCAUGAGAGGAAUCAAAUGGCUGUCAAAGCAGAUGUCAUACUGAAACACAUCUUCUGUAUUCAACUAUUAACUGUAAAUGUCUCCAUUGAUCAUAUUAGAUUUAAGACUAUGCUCACAAAGAAAAAUGCGUCUCUGAAUUAUUACUGUUUAAUUUUUACCUGGAACAGUUUUCUUAUAUUAACACAACACCAUAGAAAUCUUCCAAAAUGGCACACCAACCAGUAAAGUUCCAACAUGUGUUUACCUCCAGAAAGCUACAACUAAGCUAUAUAAAUAAUAUAUUUUUUCCCUGAACCCUAAGAGUUUUGGGGAUGAUAAAUGGCAUGUGUGCUACACAUACAAAUCUUAAAUGCCUAAUUUAAAAUAAAGUAUUGGCCUUGUUUUCUUCUGGCAAAGGAAAAGCUCUGGGAUAGAGAGGAAAAGGCUACACACUGCUGCUACUACUACUGCUACUGCUGCUGCUGCCACUACUACUUCUACUACAGCUACUACUAUUAAUAGUAUUAAUAGCAAGGAUGUUUCUGAAAUAGCAAUUAUCAUGCCCAUCUUAAAUAGUACUGGCUGUAAUGUGACCCAAGUACAGUGAGAAGACUGGUGUGUGAAUAUUGUGAGGAAGUUACUAUGACGAGAAAUUGUUAGAAAAAUGCUAAUAGCAUAGAUAUAAGAAUAGGGACUUUCUAUUUCUCAUUUUAGCUUGUGAUCUCAGUUUGUGAUCUCAGUUUAUAUUAAAAUCUAUAUCCUAGUUUGAGUAAAUUGUAGUAUGUAAUUUAGAGCUAAAGAGUUGCUAUAUGAGGGGAGACAUGAAAGUAGAGGUUGACAGUUUGUUAGCUGACAUGGCUUAAAUGAAAACAUUAGCAGAUAAGGUAUAAAACAUCAAAAUAUAUAUGCAUUAGAAUGCUUAGAGAUAAAUCUUCCUGAGGAUUUAGUUAGAGAACUCUUCAAAAGAGGAGUCUUAUUGCACAUCUCAAAUGUGCAAUAUCCAUCUUGUUUUUAUUAAACAAUUUGGAUUCUGACUAUGAUUAAAAAGUAUCAGUAUGUGUUUUCUGGAAUGGUAUUUUUAAG